UACGGGGGGAGCAAGCGUUGUCCGGAUUUACUGGGCGUAAAGAGCGCGCAGGCGGUCGUUCAAGUCGCGUGUGAAAGCCCCCGGCUCAACUGGGGAGGGUCACGCGAUACUGAUCGACUCGAAGGCAGGAGAGGGUAGUGGAAUUCCCGGUGUAGUGGUGAAACGCGUAGAUAUCGGGAGGAACACCAGUGGCGAAGGCGACUUCCUGGCCUGUUCUUGACGCUGAGGCGCGAAAGCUAGGGUAGCAAACGGG
rnacentral:rRNA from 1 species